rnacentral:rRNA from 1 species
CGGGGGAGUAACUAUUGGAAACGAUAGCUAAUACCGCAUAAAAGUCGAUAUCGCAUGAUAUUGAUUUGAAAGGUGCAAUUGCAUCACUAAGAGAUGGACCUGCGUUGUAUUAGCUAGUUGGUGAGGUAACGGCCCACCAAGGCGACGAUACAUAGCCGACCUGAGAGGGUGACUCGGCCACACUGGGACUGAGACACGGCCCAGACUCCUACGGGAGGCAGCAUG